AUACCCUAUUAUUUUUAUUGUAAAAAGUGAAGCCAGAGUAUUAGUAGUUAUGAUCUUGAAACUUAAAGAAUUUGGCGGUAUUAUAGUCUAUUUAGAGGAAUCUGUUAUGUAAUCGAUAAUCCGCGUUGAACCUUACUUAUAUUAAUUCUUGUAUACCGCUGUUUUCGAAUAUACUUUAAGGUAUAAUUUUCUUAAUAUAGAAGUAAAUAGGAUUUCAAGUCAAGGUGCAGUAAUAUAUAAGUUGAAUAAUGGAUUACAAUAAGUUUUAUUUAUGAUGGAUUAUUAAAUUAAAAUUUAGUAUGAAGGUGGAUUUAAUUGUAAUUUUUUGAAGAUUGUAAAAGUGAUUAAUGGCUCUAUAAUAUGUACACAUCGCCC
rnacentral:rRNA from 1 species